ACGGGAGGCGCAGUGGGGAAUAUUGCACAAUGGGCGAAAGCCUGAUGCAGCGACGCCGCGUGAACGAAGAAGUAUUUCGGUAUGUAAAGUUCUAUCAGCAGGGAAGAAGAAUGACGGUACCUGACUAAGAAGCACCGGCUAAAUACGUGCCAGCAGCCGCGGUAAUACAUAUGGUGCAAGCGUUAUCCGGAUUUACUGGGUGUAAAGGGAGCGCAGGCGGUAUGGCAAGUCUGAUGUGAAAGCCCGGGGCUCAACCCCGGUACUGCAUUGGAAACUACCAGACUAGAGUGUCGGAGAGGUAAGUGGAAUUCCUAGUGUAGCGGUGAAAUGCGUAGAUAUUAGGAGGAACACCAGUGGCGAAGGCGGCUUACUGGACGAUAACUGACGCUGAGGCUCGAAAGCGUGGGGAGCAAACAGGAUUAGAUACCCUGGUA
rnacentral:rRNA from 1 species